rnacentral:rRNA from 1 species
GGAGGAAAAGAAACCACCAGGGAUUGCCUCAGUAGCGGCGAGUGAAGCGGCAAAAGCUCAAAUUUGAAAUCUGGCGUCUUUGGCGUCCGAGUUGUAAUUUGAAGAAGGUAUCUUUGGGCCCGGCUCUUGUCUAUGUUCCUUGGAACAGGACGUCACAGAGGGUGAGAAUCCCGUGCGAUGAGAUGACCCGGGUCUGUGUAAAGUUCCUUCGACGAGUCGAGUUGUUUGGGAAUGCAGCUCUAAGUGGGUGGUAAAUUCCAUCUAAAGCUAAAUAUUGGCGAGAGACCGAUAGCGAACAAGUACAGUGAUGGAAAGAUGAAAAGAACUUUGAAAAGAGAGUGAAAAAGUACGUGAAAUUGUUGAAAGGGAAGGGCUUGAGAUCAGACUUGGUAUUUUGCAUGCUGCUCUCUCGGGGGCGGCCGCUGCGGUUUACCGGGCCAGCAUCGGUUUGGAGCGGCAGGAUAAUGGCGGAGGAAUGUGGCACGGCUUCUGCUGUGUGUUAUAGCCUCUGACGAUACUGCCAGCCUAGACCGAGGACUGCGGUUUUUACCUAGGAUGUUGGCAUAAUGAUCUUAAGUCGCCCGUCUUGA